UUUAAACAUAGCCAUAAGUUUUUAGUGCCCAAUUUGAAUCAUCCAUUUUAUUUGAAAUUUUUUAUGAUUAAUAAUAAUAUUAUUAUUAGAUGAUAAAAUAUUAAUAAUAUGCGUGACUUAUGUUUUAUUUUUUUAAAAAAAAAAUUUAAAUAAGACGGACGAUUAAAAUUGGACACGAAAACUCAUGGCUACGUUUAAA
rfam:Oryza glaberrima chromosome 4 Oglab04_0204_70, whole genome shotgun sequence.